UACGUAGGGUGCAAGCGUUGUCCGGAAUUAUUGGGCGUAAAGAGCUCGUAGGCGGUUUGUCGCGUCGGCUGUGAAAACUCGGGGCUCAACCCCGAGCCUGCAGUCGAUACGGGCAGACUAGAGUGCUGUAGGGGAGACUGGAAUUCCUGGUGUAGCGGUGGAAUGCGCAGAUAUCAGGAGGAACACCGAUGGCGAAGGCAGAUCUCUGGGCCGUAACUGACGCUGAGGAGCGAAAGCGUGGGGAGCGAACAGG
rnacentral:rRNA from 1 species